GAUCAUGGCUCAGGAUGAACGCUAGCUACAGGCUUAACACAUGCAAGUCGAGGGGAAACGACAUCGAAAGCUUGCUUUUGAUGGGCGUCGACCGGCGCACGGGUGAGUAACGCGUAUCCAACCUGCCCACCACUUGGGGAUAACCUUGCGAAAAGUAAGACUAAAUACCCAAUGACAUCCCACGAAGACAUCUGAAUGGGAUUAAAGAUUUAUCGGUGAUGGAUGGGGAUGCGUCUGAUUAG
rnacentral:rRNA from 1 species